rnacentral:misc_RNA from 1 species
AAAAUAAUAAGUAGCCCAAAAAGUAGCGGGUAGCCCAAAUUCAAUUUUCAGUAGCGGGGACUUUUAAAAGUAGCCCAAUCCGCUACUUGUAGCCCAAUCUGGCAACACUGGUUCGAACAUUCCACAUUAGAAGCCGCGAACAAUGAGAUUGAAGUGACGGAUAUCCAGGCUUCUGUUAUGAAAAAACUCAUCAACUACUUGUACUGUGGUGAAAAAGGUCGCCUUCAAUACGAAGAAGCAUGUGAGCUUUACUACGCAGCUGACAAGUAUGAGAUUUUGUGUCUUAGAGAAGCUUGUAUGAAAGAUCUUGUAUGUUUACUUGAUGUGAAGAGCGCCAGCCCAAUGCUAAGUCUGGCAUACCGCCACAGUGAUGAUGCUUUCAAACAGCAAAUAAUGAACUUUAUUUCUAAGAAUUUUAAUUCUAUUGUCAAUACAGAGUCGUGGAUUGAAUUAACAGAUAAAAACACAAAGCUGGCAGUUCUUUUAAUGCGUUAUUGUGCUGGAGCUUUGACUAAGUAGUAACAAUGUCCAAAAGUAAGAAAGGAUGCCAUAUAAGGACACAAAUUCCGAUCAGUACCUACACUUUCAAGUGGUCCAUAGAACACUUUUCAAAACUUUUGCUGGAAAAAGAAAUCACAAGUCCUGAUUUUUAUCCUUGCUGUUCUGGGGUUAAGUGGUAUUCUACUUUAAAAAAGUCCUCGUCAUAUUUAACUUGGGUCAUGUACAAUCCUACAGAGCAAAAUGUAUCUGUAGAACACAGAAUUUCUAUUGUGGACUCAAGUGGAAUGAUAUGGUUUAAAAAGAAACUACAUAGGACCUAUAACACAGAACAAAGUACUGUGAGUACCAAUCGGAAUAGAGUAAUACGUUCGUCUUAUGAGAACAUUGCACAAUGUGUACUGAUUAACGAUAGCGAUACAAUAAAUACUAACGAUAUGUAUCAUCUGACAAAAGAUAUUGUCACAUUUUCUUGUUUCAUGACAUUUUCAGGACACAAUAUCGAGAACCAAACCUUUGAGCUGAUAUCGGAAACUGCGGAUGACAGUAAAAAUCUCGUAAAAUUGUCUAAUGAUUUAAAAACCAUGUAUGGCGUUUCUCUGUACACCGAUGUGUGCUUGCGCAUCGGUACUGACUCUUUGCGAGUGCACAAAGCAAUUAUAUGUAGCCGAUCCCCAGUGUUCGCAAAAAAUGUUUGAACACAAGCUGGAAGAAAAAGAAACCAACGUUAUAGAAAUAGUGGACUUAGAAAUGCAAGUUCUUAAAGAUUUGAUUUCAUUCCUGUACACAGCGUUUAUACCAAAUGAGGAUUUUGAUUCUGUUCUAGCUUUGUACUACGCUGCUGAUAAAUAUGAUGUUUCAGAUCUCCGCAAGUUUUGCGGCGAAAUUCUCUUAUCCAAGUUGACCAUUGACAAUGCUUGCCUAGUAUUAGCACUCGCUGAACGCCACUCUGAUCAAAUAUUGAAGGAUUCUGUUAUGACCUUUAUGGAUAUAAAUCUGGAGCCAAUUUUAGCAACAGAUGAGUGGGCAAAUCUCGUCUCAGAGAAUACUAAGCUUGCGGCGGAAGUGAUGCGUACUCGUUCGAAAAACAAAACUGAUGUUGAGAUUAAUGUUAAUGAAAUUGCUCAGAUAAAUGUUACUGAAACUGCUGAGUUAUUUGGAGAGCCUAUACUAAGCGGAAGGAAUCAGUGGGAGGAAUGCCUUGAAGUUCGAGGUCAAGUAUAUUAGGAUUUAGAAACUCCUAGUUAUAACAGACUUGAAAUUUUUAACCUCUUGUUUCAAUAGUAAUUUGAAAAUUUUUGUGGCCAUUUUUGUUGUUAUCCUCGCUGAUUCACCCAUUUCGUAUUUUUUUAAAAUUUCCCUUUGGACAAGCAUAUAUAUA